rnacentral:rRNA from 1 species
GUCGUACAGGUCUCCGUAGGUGAACCUGCGGAGGGAUCAUUACACAAAUAUGAAGGCGGGCUGGAACCUCUCGGGGUUACAGCCUUGCUGAAUUAUUCACCCUUGUCUUUUGCGUACUUCUUGUUUCCUUGGUGGGUUCGCCCACCACUAGGACAAACAUAAACCUUUUGUAAUUGCAAUCAGCGUCAGUAACAAAUUAAUAAUUACAACUUUCAACAACGGAUCUCUUGGUUCUGGCAUCGAUGAAGAACGCAGCGAAAUGCGAUAAGUAGUGUGAAUUGCAGAAUUCAGUGAAUCAUCGAAUCUUUGAACGCACAUUGCGCCCUUUGGUAUUCCAAAGGGCAUGCCUGUUCGAGCGUCAUUUGUACCCUCAAGCUUUGCUUGGUGUUGGGCGUCUUGUCUCUAGCUUUGCUGGAGACUCGCCUUAAAGUAAUUGGCAGCCGGCCUACUGGUUUCGGAGCGCAGCACAAGUCGCACUCUCUAUCAGCAAAGGUCUAGCAUCCAUUAAGCUUUUUUUCAACUUUUGACCUCGGAUCAGGUAGGGAUACCCGCUGAACUUAAGCAUAUC